AUUGAACGCUGGCGGCAUGCCUUACACAUGCAAGUCGAACGGCAGCACGGGGGCAACCCUGGUGGCGAGUGGCGAACGGGUGAGUAAUGCAUCGGAACGUGCCCAGUAGUGGGGGAUAACGUAGCGAAAGCUACGCUAAUACCGCAUACGAUCUAUGGAUGAAAGCGGGGGAUCGCAAGACCUCGCGCGAUUGGAGCGGCCGAUAUCAGAUUAGGUAGUUGGUAGGGUAAAAGCCUACCAAGCCUUCGAUCUGUAGCUGGUCUGAGAGGACGACCAGCCACACUGGAACUGAGACACGGUCCAGACUCCUACGGGAGGCAG
rnacentral:rRNA from 1 species